rnacentral:rRNA from 1 species
CCUACGGGAGGCAGCAGUAGGGAAUCUUCCACAAUGGACGCAAGUCUGAUGGAGCAACGCCGCGUGAGUGAAGAAGGGUUUCGGCUCGUAAAGCUCUGUUGUUAAAGAAGAACGUGGGUGAGAGUAACUGUUCAYCCAGUGACGGUAUUUAACCAGAAAGCCACGGCUAACUACGUGCCAGCAGCCGCGGUAAU